rnacentral:RNase_P_RNA from 1 species
UAAGUAGAAUAAAUAAUCGCGGCCGCAAGAGACGGUCGAGGAAAGUCCGGGCUUCAUAGGGCAGGAUGCCGGAUAACGUCCGGUGGAGGCGACUCCAAGGCCAGUGCAACAGAGAGAUACCGCCCGGAGGUUCUUUCGGGAACUUCCGGGCAAGGGUGAAAAGGCAGUGUAAGAGACUACCGUCCGUCUGGUAACAGGCGGAGCCAUGUAAACCCCAUCCGAAGCAAGACCAGAUGAGAGCGACAGGCUUGCCCGGCCUGCUUUCAGGUAGGUCGCAGGAAGCGGCUGGCGACAGCCGUUCCAGAUAGAUGAUUAUUCACGACAGAACCCGGCUUAUCGUUCUGCUUACCGA